UCUCUCUCUCCCCUCAUCUUCUCUCUCUCUCCCCUCAUCCUUCUCUCUCUCUCCCCUCAUCCUUCCUUCUCUCUCUCUCUCUCUCUCUCUCUCUCUCUCUCUCUCUCUCUCUCUCUCUCUCCCCUCAUCCUUCUCUCUCUCUCCCCUCAUCCUUCUCUCUCUCUCCCCUCAUCCUUCCUUCUCUCUCUCUCUCUCUCCCCUCAUCUUCUUUCUCUCUCCCCUCAUCCUUCCUUCUCAUUCUCUCUCUCUCUCUCUCCCCUCAUCCUUCUCUCUCUCUCCCCUCAUCCUUCUCUCUCUCUCCCCUCAUCCUUCCUUCUCUCUCUCUCUCUCCCCUCAUCCUUCCUUCUCUCUCUGUAAUUAAACAGUAACCUCGUCAGGUUUUAUGUGUAAUUAAACAGUAACCUCAUCAGGUUUUAUGUGUAAUUAAACAGUAACCUUGUCAGGUUUUAUGUGUAAUUAAACAGUAACCUUGUCAGGUUUUAUGUGUAAUUAAACAGUAACCUCGUCAGGUUUUAUGUGUAAUUAGCUGUCUGGGUUUAGAAAGGUAAAAAGAUGUGCUUCAAUGUGUGUCAUUCAGGUGUGUUAGUAUGGCUGCAUUCAGGUGUGUGUCAUUCCACUGUUCUAGAAUGCCUGCAUUCAGGUGUGUGUCAUUUAGGUGUGUUAGUAUGGCUGCAUUCAGGUGUGUCAUUCAGGUGUUCUAGAAUGUCUGCAUUCAGGUGUGUUAUUCAGGUGUUCUAGAAUGUCUGCAUUCAGGUGUGUGUCAUUCCGCUGUUCUAGAAUGUCUGCAUUCAGGUGUGUGUCAUUCCGCUGUUCUAGAAUGUCUGCAUUCAGGUGUGUGUCAUUCCGCUGUUCUAGAAUGUCUGCAUUCACGUGUGUGUCAUUUAGGUGUUCUAGAAUGUCUGCAUUCAGGUGUGUGUCAUUCAGGGUUGUUAGUAUGGCUGCAUUCAGGUGUGUUUGUAUGGCUGCAUUCAGGUGUGUUAUUCAGGUGUUCUAGAAUGUCUGCAUUCAGGUGUGUUAUUCAGGUGUUCUAGAAUGUCUGCAUUCAGGUGUGUGUCAUUCCGCUGUUCUAGAAUGUCUGCAUUCAGGUGUGUGUCAUUCCGCUGUUCUAGAAUGUCUGCAUUCAGGUGUGUGUCAUUCCGCUGUUCUAGAAUGUCUGCAUUCACGUGUGUGUCAUUUAGGUGUUCUAGAAUGUCUGCAUUCAGGUGUGUGUCAUUCAGGGUUGUUAGUAUGGCUGCAUUCAGGUGUGUGUCAUUCAGGUGUGUUAGUAUGGCUGCAUUCAGGUGUGUUAGUAUGGCUGCAUUCAGGUGUGUGUCAUUCCGCUGUUCUAGAAUGCCUGCAUUCAGGUGUGUGUCAUUCAGGUGUGUUAGUAUGGCUGUAUUCAGGUGUGUCAUUCAGGGUUGUUAGUAUGGCUGCAUUCAGGUGUGUGUCAUACAGGUGUGUUAGUAUGGCUGCAUUCAGGUGUGUUAGUAUGGCUGCAUUCAGGUGUGUGUCAUUCAGGUGUUCUAGAAUGUCUGCAUUCAGGUGUGUGUCAUUCAGGUGUUCUAGAAUGUCUGCAUUCAGGUGUGUGUCAUUCAGGUGUUCUAGAAAGCCUGCGUGGGCGAGGUGCAGAGCAGUGAGAUGAAUGACCUGAGAGGCGUUCUAAUCAGCGUUCCAUUCUGGGAAGGUAAGCCAGCGCCUCGGGGGAGAGAAUAUGGGUUGAACUUCACUCCAGUUAUGUUUACUAAAAUAACAUCUAACUGAUCAACUGGCAGAUUGUCUCUCCUAUUCAUGACAAUAGGCAGAGAUGAAUGUUAGUGUUUCUGCACGGCACAGAGCAGACUGAAAACUAUAUUUGUGCAGUGUGGACAAAGUCAUAGGGAAUAAGGCCGGGAUCCAAUCCAUUUUAAAUUAGCUAUGCACCAUUUAAAGGCAAUGUUUUCGUGUUUUCGGCUCAAUAGGAAAUUACCUUUUAAAUGGUGCAUAGCCGACAGAAGGCAACCCGGAUUGAAUCCUGGCGUCAUUGUACAAAGUGUUGUUCAAGGUAGUGUAUCUGUGAAUCUGAUUACACUGAGUAUCAGUGACCAUAGUCAAAUGACCUUUCUCUGUUGUGGAGCUCGUUGUGAAUUCAUCUGAAACACCCAUUCAGUACAGUAGAUGUUGUGGGUCAAAUCCCAAGUACUUUCUACAUAUUUGUAUAAGAAACCACACAUCUGAGAAGAGGAACAGCGAGGUGUGAAGGAUCCUUCUCCCUACGUAGAGGUCAGCGGCAUCAUAUUGGCUGGCUGUUAGUCCUCUGCUGUUAUUAUCCCUGGUCAGGCUCAACUACUUCCUUGUUUUGGGACAGUCAGGCCCAACUACUUCCUUGUUUUGGGACAGUCAGGCCCAACUACUUCCUUGUUUUGGGACAGUCAGGCCCAACUACUUCCUCGUUUUGGGACAGUCAGGCCCAACUACUUCCUUGUUUUGGGACAGUCAGGCCCAACUACUUCCUUGUUUUUGGACAGUCAGGCCCAACUACUUCAUUGUUUUGGGACAGUCAGGCCCAACUACUUCCUUGUUUUGGGACAGUCAGGCCCAACUACUUCCUUGUUUUUGGACAGUCAGGCCCAACUACUUCCUUGUUUUGGGACAGUCAGGCCCAACUACUUCCUUGUUUUUGGACAGUCAGGCCCAACUACUUCCUUGUUUUUGGACAGUCAGGCCCAACUACUUCCUUGUUUUGGGACAGUCAGGCCCAACUACUUCCUUGUUUUUGGACAGUCAGGCCCAACUACUUCCUUGUUUUUGGACAGUCAGGCCCAAUAGGGAAUGAGGGUGCCAUUUGAGAUGCACUCCUUGUCAGUCCCAAGUAGUUGGAUGGUUGGACUGAUCUGAAACAAGAUUCCUUAUUGCCCUGAAGUGGAAUGUGAUUGGCUGUGAUUGGCUGUGUAAGCGAUGGGGCUUAAAGAAGCUCUCCAGAAUGCCCGUGACCUCGGCUGACCCCCAGCCUGCGUCCCAAAUACAAGGGGCGGCAGGGUAGCCUAGUGGUUAGAGCGUUGGACUCGUAACCGAAAGGUUGUGAGUUCAAACCCCCGAGCUGACAAGGUACAAAUCUGUCGUUCUGCCCCUGAACAGGCAGUUAACCCACUGUUCCCAGGCCGUCAUUGAAAAUAAGAAUUUGUUCUUAACUGACUUGCCUGGUUAAAUAAAGGUAAAAAAAUAAAAUAAUAAUUUGUCACGUGCUUUGUAAACAACAGGUUUAGACUAACAGUAAAAUGCUUACAUACGGGCUUACUUACUUACAAAUACAUGCUUAUGGGCCCUGUUCAAAAGUAGUACACUAUAUACAGAUAGGAUACCAUUUGGUACUCAAUGAGCUGGGCUGCCUGGGAUCAGUGAGAUGCUCCGAGUGUCAGAGUAACUUUAGACACAUUCUGGAAGACACUAGAUCCUGAUGUGGCAUGCAGCCUGCUCUGAUCUUCUUCCCAGGAACACUUAGUCAGAGCUCCUAGCUUCUAGAUCAGGGAGGGGCCGCAUCAAUUCUCCCCCCCCCCAAAAAAAACAAAAAAAAAACAUUGGGUGGGGGAGUUCAGUAGGGGUCUCAAUUUACUGGUGAGAGUUAAAUAGUGAAAUACCCGAGGUGCGAUUUUGGAAUGUUUUAGUGCAGCGGCAGGUCUUUCUCCUGUUUCGUCAGACACUGACCAUGUCAGCUAACACUUUUUAGAUUGUUAAGUUAGUUUAUCAGCCGCUGGCUGGUAGUAAUCAUGGUUGAAUUAAUGACCCCUUGGGGUCGCCCGUUGAUUCUGUUCGUCACUCGCACUCAGAUAUCAUAUUAAAAACUGAAAACAUUAUUCUCCAACCCAUAUGGCAAAAUGGGUAGAAUUGCAGGAAAUUAGCUGUACAACUGCACAUUUUCCUGUCCACCCCCAUGUCAAAAUGGGUAGAGAGAAUUGCAUGACAUUUUUUUAAAUAAAAUUGCAACAUUUGCUCUACGCCCCGUUGUCAUGGAAUCUCCAGCCUCCAUCUUCAUGUCUGGCAUGUUUGUUCCGUAAACAUGCUGCACCUGUCCAUGGAAUGCUGGUUGCCAACCAACAAUGGAAUGCUGGUUGCUAACCAACCAGACUAUAUGCUAUGACCCUAUCCCUGGCCUCUCUCCUCGUCUCUCUGUUUUCCAUCCGCAUGUGUGUUUGUGUGUGUGUGUGUGUGUGUGUGUGUGUGUGUGUGUGUGUGUGUGUGUGUGUGUGUGUGUGUGUGUGUGUGUGUGUGUGUGUGUGUGUGUGUGUGUGUGUGUGUGUAAGGAUAUGUUUGGGCCAGAAGAUAGACAAGGUAUCUGUCAAGCUUUGCUCUCAGGCCAGUGUGACAGAGAGAGGGUUUUUCCUCUCCAGGCAGCUGUCACUGCUGUGUCUGAACACGGAUCUGAACUCUGAGAGGAACACUAGUCUGCAUCUCAAAUAGCACCCUAAUCCCUAUAGACUGAACUCUAUAUAGUGUCCUACUGUUGGUCAAAAUCGAGCGAUGAAACAAUGAUUUGGGGCGGCAGUGUAGCCUAGUGGUUAGAGCGUUGCACUUGUAACCGGAACGUUGCAAGUUCAAAUCCCCGAGCUGACAAGGUACAAAUCUGUCGUUCUGCCCCUGAACAGGCAGUAAACCCACUGUUCCUCGGCCGUCAUUGAAAAUAAGAAUUUGUUCUUACCUGACUUGCCUGGUUAAAUAAAGGUAAAAUUUAAAUUUAAAAAAUUCUGUCAAGCAACCGGUCAGUUCCAAGUGGAACUACCUUAUUUUUUUCCGAUAGACGCAACACCGUUCUCCAUGCAGUCGUUUACUAAUUGAUAAGAUCUAUUGAUAAGAGAUAUUGAUGAGAGAUAUUGAUGAGAGCUAUUGAUAAGAUAUAUUGAUUAGAGACAUUGAUAAAAGCAAUUGAUAAGAGCUAUUGAUAAGAGUUAAUGAAAAUAGUUAAUGAAAAGAGCUAUUGAUAAGAGCUAUUGAUUAGAGCUAUUGAUUAGAGCUAUUGAUAAGAAUUCAUGCAAAGAGCUAUUGAUUAGAGCUAUUGAUUAGAGCUAUUGAUUAGAGCUAUUGAUUCGAACUAUUGAUUCGAGCUAUUGAUUAGAGCUCAAUAUUGAUUAGAGCUAUUGAUUAGAGCUAUUGAUUAGAGCUAUUGAUUAGAGCUAUUGAUUCGAGCUAUUGAUUCGAGCUAUUGAUUAGAGCUCAAUAUUGAUUAGAGCUGAGUAAAUGAGUAAACUGUUUGGUUCAGGGGAUUGUAAAUAUCAAUGACAUUUGUUUUAGAUCUAGUUUACCUUCUGAUCGAUGGAGACGACUGUGAAAGCAGUAAUACAGCAGAACACUGAAGCAUCAACAUAUCACCUUUUCCACAGUGAAGUUUGUGAAAUGCCUCAUAACUUGGGAUGAAAUCAGGAGACCCAAGCUAUAGACUUCUGUAGCCAGGUACAAAUGACGGUAUAGUGCCAAACCUACCAAUGGACAAACCUACCAAUGUACAAACCUACCAAUGUACAAACCUACCAAUGUACAAACCUACCUGGGGUGAUUUAUGAUUUCCAGAAGGUUUCAAUUAUAUGCCCAGACUUUUCACUGUAUUUAUAACUAUUUGUACAGUCAGUUAUACUCACAUACAUUUACAACGGUCACUGACUUUAGUGUUAGUUUCCUUACAUGUUGCAUCAUUCCAUUACAUCAUUAGUUUACCACAACUUGCACCCCUCAUGUUAUUGACUGUACGUUUGUUUAUGUGUAACUCUGUUGUUGUUUGUGUUGCACUGUUUUGCUUUAUCUUGGCCAGGUCACAGUUGUAAAUGAGAACUUGUUCUCAACUGGCCUACCUGGUUAAAAAAAGGUAAAAUAAAAUCAAAUAGAAACA